GCCAGGGAAUUACGAGCACAAGCUUAAAACCCAAAGGAUUUGACGGNGUCCCACCCACCUAGAGGAGCCUGUUCUAUAAUCGAUGAUCCUCGAUAUACCUCACCAUUUUUUGCUUUUUCAGCCUGUAUACCUCCGUCGMAAGCUUACCAUUNGAAUGCCUCAAAGUAAGGUCAAUUAGGGCUCUACACGCCAACACGUCAGGUCAAGGUGCAGCCAAUAAAAUGGGAAGCAAUGGGCUACAAUUUCUAAUAUAGAACAAACGAAAAACUACAUGAAACAUAGUCAUGAAGGCGGAUUUAGUAGUAAAAGAAGAAUAGCGAGCUUCUUUAAACAAGGCCCUGGGACGUGUACACACCGCCCGUCAC
rnacentral:rRNA from 1 species